GCCCAUAUAGCUCAGGGGUAGAGCGCAUCCUUGGUAAGGAUGAGGUCGCCGGUUCGAGCCCGGCUAUGGGCU
rnacentral:tRNA from 1 species